rnacentral:lncRNA from 1 species
AUGUUAUCAUCAUCAUCAUUAUUAUUAUCAUCAUCAUCAUCACCAUCAUCGUAAUCAUCAUCACCACCAUCAUCAUCAUCAUUAACAUUAUCAGCAUCAUCAUCAAUGUUAUCCUAAUUAUCAUCAUCAUCAUCAUCAUCCAGGCUGUAUCACAUCCGGCCGUGAUUGGGAGUCCCAUAGCACGGCGCAUAAUUGGCCCACAAUUGGCCCAGCGUCGUCCGGGUUUGGACCAAGUAGGCCGUCAUUGUAAAUAAGGAUUUGUUCUUAACUGACUUGCCUAGUUAAAAAAAGGUUCAAUAAAAAACAUAUCAUCAUCAUUAUCAUCCUCCUUCUCCUCCUCAUCUUCGCCAUCAUCAUCAACAUUAUUAACAUCAUCAGUUUGAAACUGAGAACAAUGUUGGUCAGUCAAUAUCAGUCUGACUGUAAUAUAACAAUCUUGUUCUAUAGGACCGUCCUAAAUGAACUACACAGCAAUCCAUUAGGAUGACAGGCAGACAGCACUUUGAUGGUUGAUUAGCUCUGGUGGCAUCAGUCCUACGUGACGCUGUAGUCCCUCGAACGAUGACAGCAAAGCCGACCUAAGACAAUGAGCUGGACAGUUUCAGUAAAAGCUCACCGAAACAGCUUCAACUUCAGUUAAUUCAUUCCAGCUUUCAGGGGCUGGUUGGGAUCUAAUGUGUCUGUGGUGUGUGUGUGUGUGUGUUUUCUGCGUGCGCGUGCAUGAAUGCAUACUCAUUCCUGUGUGCUUGCUUGUGUACGUGCAUACAUGCCUCUGCAAUCAAUGUAUGUGAUGUGAUGUGUGUAUCCUUCUAUGUUAGGUCAGUGCGUAUUCAAAUGUCCCUUUCUCCAGCCCCUCUAUCCCGUCAGACCAGUUGGAGGAGGGCAUGCUACUGUAGGGGUCGAGAAGGAUCCUGAAACACCGGACUAUGAGCAGGCCCAGGACCAGCAGCAACAUCCCUAUGAAGGCAAAUGCUGCCUUCUGCUCCGACAGGAUCAAGGAGUUGAGAAGCAUUUCACUGUCACUCAUAGCAGUCGGGGAGUGGUUAUAGUGGAGGCUACACAUGGGUGGUGUUCACUAGCACCAAACUGAAGAAAACAGACUGAAACAGGACUUGGACUUGUCCAAUUAGAAACGCUUGUUUUUGAUUGCCAUUUUGCUACAGUGUACACUAAUGAAUAUGACCCUGGUGAACACACACUCAUAGCAGGAAGCUAGCUUCACAUGGUGAACACACGCCCAGACGGGGAGAAGCCUGCAUGCUACCUGGAGAGAGAGAGAGAGAGAGAGAGACUGAGAGAGAGUGACAGAGACAGACACAGAGAGAGAGACAUAGAGAGAGAGAGAGACAUAGAGAGAGACAGAGACAGAGAGAGAGAGAGAGAGAGAGAGAGUGACAGAGAGACAUAGAGAGAGACAUAGAGACAGAGGAAGAGAGACAUAGAGAGAGAGACAGAGAGAGACAUAGAGAGAGACAUAGAAAGAGACAUAGAGAGACAGAGGAAGAGACAUAGAGAGAGAGAGAGAGAACAUAGAGAGAGAGACAGAGAGAGAGAGACAGAGAGAGAGAGACAUAGAGAGAGAGAGACAUAGAGAGAGAGAGACAGAGAGAGAGAGACAUAGAGAGAGAGACAUAGAGAGAGAGAGAGACAUAGAGAGAGAGAGAGACAUAGAGAGAGAGACAGAGAGAGAGAGACAUAGAGAGAGAGAGAGAGAGACAUAGAGAGAGAGAGAGACAUAGAGAGAGAGAGAGAGAGAGAGACAGAGACAGAGACAUAGAGAGAGAGACAUAGGAAGAGACAGAGAGAGAGACAGAGGAAGAGAGGGGGUUGGUGCUGUGUUGGAGUCAUUUACCUUAGAUUGUUCACUGUAUAUCUGCAUGUUUUGUCAUAAAAGGAUCCCAUUAGGAGAUUAAAUUCCUGUACUGUUUAUCAUUUACUAUAACAUACAAUUUAAUAUAAAUAAUUUACUUUGGGAACUGUACGUAUCG